rnacentral:tRNA from 1 species
GCCUCGGUGGUGCAAUGGAUCGACACGGCGGACCGGAUGUCUGUUGCUGCGGGUUCGAGUCCCGCCUCAGGUU